CACCAAGGCUAUGACGGGUAGCUGGUCUGAGAGGACGACCAGCCACACUGGAACUGAGACACGGUCCAGACACCUACGGGUGGCAGCAGUCGAGAAUUUUUCUCAAUGGGCGAAAGCCUGAAGGAGCGACGCCGCGUGGAGGAUGAAGGUUUUCGGAUUGUAAACUCCUGUCAUUGGGGAACAAUUCUACGGGGAGUAACUGCCCUGUAGUUGAUAGUACCCGAAGAGGAAGGGACGGCUAACUCUGUGCCAGCAGCCGCGGUAGUACAGAGGUCCCAAGCGUUGUUCGGAUUCAUUGGGCGUAAAGGGUGCGUAGGCGGUGAGGUAAGUUGGAUGUGAAAUCCCGGGGCUCAACCCCGGAACUGCAUUCAAUACUGCUUUGCUAGAGUACUGGAGAGGAGAUUGGAAUUCACGGUGUAGCAGUGAAAUGCGUAGAUAUCGUGAGGAAGACCAGUGGCGAAGGCGAAUCUCUGGACAGUUACUGACGCUGGGGCACGAAGGCUAGGGGAGCAAACGGGAUUAGAUACCCCGGUAGUCCUAGCA
rnacentral:rRNA from 1 species